rnacentral:lncRNA from 1 species
CGUUACAGAGCCUGUGUAUUGUAUCCUGCCUUGGGAGACCUUGAGGAAGCGGCGUGAAAACCGUGUUUAUAAAAGGAUGUAUUUGGAAGAAACACUGGAGGAACAGAGCAGAGUAUUUUCCCUCCCGUUGAUGCUGCAGAAGCCGGAGGCUCGCAGUGCCCCACAGCAGUGAGGGGGAGCACGGACCACAUGCGGAGAGGCCACAUUUCACUCCUGGCAGUGGGAAUUUGACCCCACUGCUCCCUGGUGACUCUCUAAGCCCUGGACUGGCAGUCCUCUGCCCACCACGUUUUGUACAAGGCAUGAAGUCCCACCAACAGGGACUGGUUGGUGUCACCUGCCUGGCUGCUCUCCUCUCUGGGAAGAUAUCCCUAGCAAACCGAAGCUGCCAAACACCCCUGGGACUCCAGUCUCCGUGCCAGAUAUUUGCUACAUAG